GAUGAACGCUGACAGAAUGCUUAACACAUGCAAGUCGAUGGGGAAGUGGUGCUUGCACCAUGGUAACCAUGGCGGACGGGUGAGUAACGCGUAAGGAACUUGCCUGCGGGACCGGGAUAACAGCAGGAAACUGCUGACAAGACCGGAUAAGGUCAUUAAGCCGCAUAGCUUGGUGAUGAAAGGAGACGCCUGCGGAGAGCCUUGCGUCCUAUUAGCUAGUUGGAGGGGUAACGGCCCACCAAGGCGAAGAUAGGUAGCCGGCCUGAGAGGGUGGACGGCCACAAGGGGACUGAGAUACGGCCCUUACUCCUACGGGAGGCAGCAGUGGGGAAUAUUGGACAAUGGGGGCAACCCUGAUCCAGCAAUUCUGUGUGCACGAAGACGGUUUUCGGAUUGUAAAGUGCUUUCAGCGAGGAGGAAAGGUUGAUGCCUAAUACGUAUCAACUGUGACGUUACUCGCAGAAGAAGCACCGGCUAACUCCGUGCCAGCAGCCGCGGUAAUACGGAGGGUGCGAGCGUUAAUCGGAAUUACUGGGCGUAAAGCGCACGCAGGCGGUUUGUUAAGUCAGAUGUGAAAUCCCCGCGCUUAACGUGAGAACUGCAUUUGAAACUGGCAAGCUAGAGUCUUGUAGAGGGGGGUAGAAUUCCAGGUGUAGCGGUGAAAUGCGUAGAGAUCUGGAGGAAUACCGGUGGCGAAGGCGGCCCCCUGGACAAAGACUGACGCUCAGGUGCGAAAGCGUGGGGAGCAAACAGG
rnacentral:rRNA from 1 species